ACACUAACACAAACACACGCACACACCCACAGCCGCACACCCCCCCCAACUCUCCUUCCCCUUCUCUCCCUCUCGGUUCUCUGUCUCCUCCUCUCUGUCCGGCCAAGAGCGGCGCCGCCACGCCGGCGCACCGCCUCACCUCCGCGUCUCCACUUCCCUCUCACUCUCUCGGAUUCCGCCCCCAUCACUCGCCCUCUAUCGCACCGGACCCAGAACUCCCUCCGACGACUGCACCAGACCAGCCGCCGCCGCCUGAACUCCCUCCCUCUUCACUCAAAUCGGCCGACAGCAGCAGAAGAAACGGACUGCCGCCGCGCCCAACACCUCCCUCGUCUCUCUCUCAAUCCUCCCCUGUUCACAGAUCCGGCGGCCGCAUCAGUAGGAGCUAACCACCGCCGCCCUUCUCACCCUCUCUCUCUCUGCACACUCCGGUCAACAGUGGCGCGGAGCCACCGCCGGCCGCCGCCUGCCCUCUCCCCUGAUUUCGACUCACACACAGCAAACACACAUACUCAACAUCAUAAGCUUC
rnacentral:lncRNA from 1 species